UACGAAGGGGGCUAGCGUUGCUCGGAAUGACUGGGCGUAAAGGGCGCGUAGGCGGCCUCCUAAGUCAGACGUGAAAUCCCCCGGCUUAACCUGGGAACUGCGUCUGAUACUGGGAGGCUAGAGUGCGGGAGAGGGAUGCGGAAUUCCAGGUGUAGCGGUGAAAUGCGUAGAUAUCUGGAGGAACACCGGUGGCGAAGGCGGCAUCCUGGACCGACACUGACGCUGAGGCGCGAAAGCUAGGGUAGCAAACGGG
rnacentral:rRNA from 1 species